rnacentral:rRNA from 1 species
CCUACGGGUGGCAGCAGUGGGGGAUAUUGCACAAUGGGGGGAACCCUGAUGUAGCGACGCCGCGUGGGUGAAGGAGUGCUUCGGCAUGUAAAGCCCUAUCGGCAGGGAAGAAGCAAGACGGUACCUGACUAAGAAGCCCCGGCUAACUACGUGCCAGCAGCCGCGGUUAUACGUAGGGGGCGAGCGUUAUCCGGAUUCACUGGGUGGAAAGGGAGCGUAGACGGCCAAGCAAGCCAGGGGUGAAAGCCCGGGGCCCAACCCCGGGACUGCCCUUGGAACUGCAUGGCUGGAGGGCGGGAGGGGCAGGCGGAAUUCCUAGUGUAGCGGUGAAAUGCGUAGAUAUUAGGAGGAACACCGGUGGCGAAGGCGGCCUGCUGGACUGUGACUGACGUUGAGGCCCGAAGGCGUGGGGAGCAAACAGGAUUAGAUACCCGUGUAGUC